UUUGAUGCACGACACACCUAGAUAUUCGGUUUUUUUUUAUAUUUUCUUAACUAAUUGGCUUUUUCUGACAUUAAUUGAACAUUUUCAAUUGCCUCAAGCUAUAAAACAAUGUAACAUUAUGCGUAAUUUUCAUAACAAAUUUCAAUGAAAUAACUGGAUUUAUCUUCUGAAUGUUGUGAGCGGAAGAACAAUCAGAAUGAGAAUACUGUCAUUUUAUCGACUAACACUUGCAUCUUUGUUAUUAGUCCUAUGCUAUUCACAAAAAUACACAGAAAGAAGCAAACUACUUAAACCUGCCGAACAUGAAAAUGACCAACAAAAAAUGUCUGCUGUAUUGACAAACAUGUUGUGUGCUAUGUGCACCAUUAUGAAGGACACGGGAAAGGAAAAAUGCAUCCCGAAAUUCUGUUUAUUCGGCAUUCAAAAGGGAUUAAAAAAAACCAGCAGGACUGCAGUUACCAUAUUAACAGAGUAAAGUCUGCAUUAGAGACCAUUCUUUUAUAUAACUUAUGCAUGGUGAUAAGAAGCGGAGAGUGUGUGUUCAUUAGCAAAAUUGAAAUAAUGUCAAAACCUUGCAAUAAAAUAAUGUUAAUUUCA